CUAUACUAUAGGGUAACAGACAUCUUUUUUCUCAUAAUUUUGAACUUUUUUUUAAAUUAACAUGGUGGUGACACGUAUGUGUUGGGAUGGAACUAUUUCAGAUAGAUUUUUACCGUGUGCAAUUUUGGUGCCCUAAGAAAUUUUAAGGACCUUUCCUUCUCUUAUUCUUGAGUGUUGCGUUCCGUUGAUGUGUGGCUUUAGCCUUUUAUGGUGGGCCAGCUGAUCCCCUUAAUUAAUGUCUGGUGGAUUUAGUCAUGCGGCACCGCUUUGACCUGCCUUCUUUUCGAUCUCCACGCCCUCCUUCAUCUUCCUUUUCCCAGCAUUACCUCGCCGCAUUGCUUCGCCUUGCUCUACCUCCACCGUACUCCUCUCCCCGGAUUCUUCCCCGCACAAAUUCUCCGUCGCCUGGCCGGCGGAUUUGGGUGACGAAGUGGUCGUCACACCCCUCUCCGCAGCCAGGGGAUGAGUACAGGUCGCGGCGGUCGCGCGGAGGACGGCCCGCGGAACGGCGUGGCGGCGUGCUGCCGUCUUGGCGAGCAGCACCCUGGGAGGAAUUCCUUCCUCGCGAAAAUCAUGGUGACGGCGGCGUUUGAGGGGAUCCGCGGGCUCUCUGCGCCGUGGCGCUGGUCAGCCGCCGCCUCCUCGCCAUCGCCGAGCGCAUGCUGUGGUGGGAGAUCUGCGUCUCGCCCGCGCUUCAGAUGGUGUCCACCCUCACGAAGUUACUCCGCGCCGGGGCUAGGGCGCGUCAGUGGUGGAUGGCCGGCGCUCGCGAAGCCCAUCUCCCGUUUCUCCAACAAUUCUGGCCGCCGCUUCAUGUCGCAGUAGUGCGGCCGGGACCUGUCGUUGUAUGUGUCGGACCAGUGCGAGCACGUCGCGCCGUUGGCGGCGGCGGCGAAGACUUGGGCGCCUACCGCGGCGUGUUCCGCGGCUUCAUUCGCUCCCGCACGCGGGCUUGCCUGCUGGGCGGCCGCGCCCGGCUGGAGCCCCGCGCGCGCGUGCUGCCCCUGCUGGGACGCGUGCGUGUGCAGUGUGCGUGUGGACCGUGACGCCGCCGCGUAGCGCUCGCCGCCACCUCGACACGCACGACGGCCGCGUAGAGUAUUUCGUCUGCCUCAGAAGCCACCUCCAGGGAAGCUGCUGGCUCGCAUACCUCUCUGACUGCGAGGGCGAGGGCGAGCGCAAUGAUGGCUUCGACUCCCUCUCCCACAACGACGGUUUCGGUGUGGUCGCCGCCAGCGAACAGGAGUAGGCUGGCGCAUGGCGCUGUGAAGUUCAACUUCAGAGCCUGUCUCCUUGCUGCCAGCUCUCCUCUGUCCGACUCGGCGGCCGCGAGCCGUGGGGGUGGUGUCCUUCGUGGCCGUCAGGGCCGUCUCGGCGCCUACCUCGGCGUUCAUGUCUUGAUGGCGUUCCCAAUGAUAUGUCUCCGACUCGCCGGCGUAGCUGCUUCAGCAUGAAGGCGAGCACGCGCUCGCGCUGCUGCAGUCCAUGGAUUCUCCCAGUCACAUGUCCCGCUGUUCCCUGCCGCCGACAUCUUCGUUUGGGAUUCCAUCGACAGCAACUCUUCUUUCCUUAUGUGGUACGGGGUGCUUCGGUUUGACCUGAAGAUUGAGUUACACUUUUUUCCUGACGACUUGGUUUUUAGUUCGUUGAUUUUUGUUUGCAUGCUGCUCCUGCUAUUGAUCAGUUUCACGACCGCGAUGUAUCUAUAUAGUCGUCUCCAGAACUCCUUCCUUUUACAACUCCCAUCCAUGAAGAAGGCACAAAUCUUAAUCCCCUUUCAACCUUUAACUCGCCAAACUGAAUCCAAAGUAGGAGUACGUGGUGUUUUCUUAGUUUGUUCUUUACAUUGCAAUUGGCAAAGGAUGGAAUCGGGAGUUGCACAUCAACAGCUGCUGUGAUUGUCUGCCUUUUUUUUUUUUUACGAAAACCAUGCUUAGCACGUUGUUGCAAAAAAAUGCAGGUUCUGCUCUUCUUCCCGAUCGAUGCGCUGCUAGGUUAUUGUUGAGUGUGCCUGGUGUUGCGUCGCCGGCGAGUUCGUCCUGCUUCUUCGCCUCCUCCAGUUUCACAGCGUUGCCAUGGCUUUGAAGAUGCUACUGCUGUGCCGCCAGUUUACCAUGAUGCUGAUACACAUCAAUCCAAGGCAGAGGCAUGCAUCUAAAUAUGAUGCGCACAGGUGCUACAGACUACAUAACGAACUAUUGUGCUGCAAGUGAGCUUCGAUCAUUUUAAUGAAAUUCUCAGGUGCCAGGUGUUGCCAUAAAAUUUGACACUCCAUAAUGGCCUUCAUCUUUUUUUACUAGGUCUAUCCACUCAGCUUUGCUUCAUCAUCUGGUAUGUCAAUCAUUUUUAGUUAAGCUUAGUUGAAGUUCUGACAGUUUUCGGCUUUCCUAGGACUCGAUCAACUAGAUAUAUUUUGUUGGACACAUAUAUGUAAAGAAUACUUGUAUUCAGGAUUUCUGAAAAUUGCUCUUCAACUGGAUAAGUAUCCAUUUCUGAAACACACAAAACUGCAUCUUCAAAUAUUUAUUAAGUUAUUUAGGUCGAUGCAUCAUUCAUGUAUGCCCUAACUAUAUAGCAGUACAUAAUUAUAUAUGAAAAAUAGUUUUUUAUCUAGCAGAUUAACUCCUGUAAGUACAUAUGGAUUUACCCAGGUUCCAUUGCAUAAUUCUCUUACUCCCCCUUAACACAAGACCCCUCUUUCAAGGUGCGGUUGCAACGAAUUGGGACUUUAAACAUUCUACUUGAUUGUAGAAGAAGGAUUCCUAGCAUGUUUGGGAUCUCCUAUCAUUUUUUGUUUGUUAUAUUAUGUUCCAGAGUUACAUAUAGAGUUCAAUUUUCAUGUGUCGAGCACUGAAAUAAUUGGCAUGGGUGCUGCAACAAUUGCAUCCAGCAGCUUUC